rnacentral:rRNA from 1 species
UACGAAGGGGGCUAGCGUUGCUCGGAAUCACUGGGCGUAAAGGGUGCGUAGGCGGGUCUUUAAGUCAGGGGUGAAAUCCUGGAGCUCAACUCCAGAACUGCCUUUGAUACUGAAGAUCUUGAGUUCGGGAGAGGUGAGUGGAACUGCGAGUGUAGAGGUGAAAUUCGUAGAUAUUCGCAAGAACACCAGUGGCGAAGGCGGCUCACUGGCCCGGUACUGACGCUGAGGUGCGAAAGCGUGGGAGCAAACAGGG